AUGUUUACUACUGAUCUUGUCUUGAGAGAUCUCUGUCUUCCCCUCUCAUUUAUGUAUCAUUUUCUCCCCUUUUUAUUUCCUAACUUUUAUUUACCUGACGGAGUGCAGGUUUUCAACCUCAAUCCCAGGCUAAGCAUCUCAUGUAGCUGACUGAUAUCAGGCAGGCAGGUAUUCAUUCUUUGUCAUCUAUACGUUGAUUUUUUGCUUUGACGCUUUAGAUGCAUGGUCCUAGCUUAGAAAAUCUCUUUUAUUCCUAUGACUCGUGAUAGAGUGGAGAAAGAAUCAGCGCAACAAAAAGUAAUGAACAAUGGCUCAGAAGAUAUGAAUGUUUUUGGUCUUUCUCCUCAGGUGUUCGUUGUGUAAUGUUUAAGUCAAGUUGGUUCCCCAGUGUCAACUCCAUAAUACCGUCUGGAGUGGAAUUUAUUUGGCAGUGAGCUGGGGAUCUGUGGAUAUAACCAAGACAGUUCAUACAACGAAAAUAAUU
rnacentral:sRNA from 1 species